CCUACGGGAGGCAGCAGUGGGGAAUUUUGGACAAUGGGCGCAAGCCUGAUCCAGCCAUGCCGCGUGAGUGAAGAAGGCCUUCGGGUUGUAAAGCUCUUUCGGUGGGGAAGAAAUUGCACGGGAUAAUACCCUGUGUAGAUGACGGUACCUGGAGAAGAAGCACCGGCUAACUACGUGCCAGCAGCCGCGGUAAU
rnacentral:rRNA from 1 species